CACGUAGGGUGCGAGCGUUGUCCGGAAUUAUUGGGCGUAAAGAGCUCGUAGGCGGUUUGUCGCGUCUGUCGUGAAAUCCCACGGCCCAACCGUGGAAGUGCCUCUGAUACUGCGGGCCGUCGAGGGGAUAGGGGCGUGCGGAACUCAGGGUGGAGCGGUGAAAUGCGUAGAUAUCCUGAGGAACACCGGUGGCGAAAGCGGCGCGCUGGAUCCCUUCUGACGC
rnacentral:rRNA from 1 species